UAGGAAAUGAUCUUUACAUGACGGUACCAUACCAGAAAGGGACGGCUAAAUACGUGCCAGCAGCCGCGGUAAUACGUAUGUCCCGAGCGUUAUCCGGAUUUAUUGGGCGUAAAGCGAGCGCAGACGGUUCGAUAAGUCUGAAGUGAAAGCCCACAGCUCAACUGUGGAAGUGCUUUGGAAACUGUCGAACUUGAGUGCAGUAGAGGUAAGUGGAACUCCAUGUGUAGC
rnacentral:rRNA from 1 species